rnacentral:rRNA from 1 species
UACGAAGGGGGCUAGCGUUGCUCGGAAUCACUGGGCGUAAAGGGUGCGUAGGCGGGUCUUUAAGUCAGGGGUGAAAUCCUGGAGCUCAACUUCAGAAUUGCCUUCGAUACUGGCUUUCUAGAGGCUGGAAGAGGUUAGUGGAAUUCCCAGUGUAGAGGUGAAAUUCGUAGAUAUUGGGAAGAACACCAGUGGCGAAGGCGGCUAACUGGUCCAGAUCUGACGCUGAGGUGCGAAAGCGUGGGGAGCAAACAGG